rnacentral:pre_miRNA from 1 species
GGUGCUCUUCUGGUGCAACAGGCCAGUGGUUUGAGUGGUGGUCGACGGCAAUUGCUUCAGUCUUACUUGCUUGGCUUACGUACGUACGCCUCAAGCAAGUAAGACUGAAGCAAUUGCUGCCGACCACCGAUCAAACCACUGGCCUGUUGCACCAGCAGAGCACU